UACGUAGGCAGCAAGCGUUGUUCGGAGUUACUGGGCGUAAAGGGUGUGUAGGCGGCCUGUUAAGUUCCGUGUGAAAUCUCCCGGCUCAACCGGGAGGGUGCGCAGAAAACUGGCGGGCUAGAGUGCGGGAUGGGGAGAGUAGAAUUCCUGGUGUAGCGGUGAAAUGCGUAGAUAUCAGGAGGAACACCAAUAGCGAAGGCAGCUCGCUGGGGACGGUAAUUGACGCUAAGGCGCGAAAGCGUGGGGAGCAAACAGG
rnacentral:rRNA from 1 species